rnacentral:rRNA from 1 species
UACAGAGGUCUCAACCGUUGUUCGGAUUCAUUGGGCGUAAAGGGUGCGUAGGCGGUCGCGCAAGUCGGAUGUGAAAUCUCUGGGCUCAACCCAGAGUCUGCAUAGGAAACUGUCGGGCUUGAGUAUGGGAGAGGUGAGUGGAAUUUCCGGUGUAGCGGUGAAAUGCGUAGAUAUCGGAAGGAACACCUGUGGCGAAAGCGGCUCACUGGACCAUUACUGACGCUGAGGCGCGAUAGCGUGGGGAGCAAACAGG